rnacentral:rRNA from 1 species
GACGGGUGAGUAACGCGUGGGUAACCUGCCUCAUACACAUGGAUAACAUACCGAAAGGUAUGCUAAUACAGGAUAAUAUAAGAGAUUCACAUGGAUUUUUUAUCAAAGCUCCGGCGGUAUGAGAUGGACCCGCGUCUGAUUAGCUAGUUGGUAAGGUAAUGGCUUACCAAGGCGACGAUCAGUAGCCGACCUGAGAGGGUGAUCGGCCACAUUGGAACUGAGACACGGUCCAAACUCCUACGGGAGGCAGCAGUGGGGAAUAUUGCACAAUGGGCGAAAGCCUGAUGCAAGCAACGCCGCGUGAGUGAUGAAGGCCUUCGGGUCGUAAAACUCUGUCCUCAAGGAAGAUAAUGACGGUACUUGAGGAGGAAGCCCCGGCUAACUACGUGCCAGCAGCAGC